GAUGAAGAACGUAGCGAAAUGCGAUAAGUAAUGUGAAUUGCAGAAUUCAGUGAAUCAUCGAAUCUUUGAACGCACCUUGCGCCCUUUGGCUAUUCCGAAGGGCAUGCCUGUUUGAGUAUCAUGAACACCUCAACUCUUUAUGGUUUUCCAUGAAGGGCUUGGACUUUGGGGGUCUUGCUGGCCUUUAGUCAGCUCCUCUCAAACGAAUCAGCUUUCCAGUGUUUGGCAGCGUCACAGGUGUGAUAACUAUCUACGCUUGUGGUUUUCUGCCAGGUAAUCCUCAGUGAUGGGGAUUCGCUGGGGCUUAUAAAUGUCUCUCCUCGGCGAAGACAGCUUUGUGAACGUUUGAUCUCAAAUCAGGUAGGACUACCCGCUGAACUUAAGCAUAUCAAUAAGCGGAGGA
rnacentral:misc_RNA from 1 species